UACGUAGGGUGCAAGCGUUAAUCGGAAUUACUGGGCGUAAAGCGUGCGCAGGCGGUUAUGGAAGACAGAUGUGAAAUCCCCGGGCUCAACCUGGGAACUGCAUUUGUGAUUGCAUGGCUAGAGUACGGUAGAGGGGGAUGGAAUUCCGCGUGUAGCAGUGAAAUGCGUAGAUAUGCGGAGGAACACCGAUGGCGAAGGCAAUCCCCUGGACCUGUACUGACGCUCAUGCACGAAAGCGUGGGGAGCAAACAGG
rnacentral:rRNA from 1 species